CCAAUUUUCAAUUCUAAUUCUCCUCUCUGUUUCGAACCAUCACCACCAAGCUUCCCUCCUUCCUUUCACGGCACCACCGUGCUGCAACCACCCAACCACGCAGCCCCAUUCACAGCCACCCUCACCACCAUCUCCGGCGCAACACCCGACCCAAACACCUCCCUUAUUUCUCCUCCUCCUUCGUCGUGAACUCCCCUGCCCCUACCCUGCUUUUCAGUUCAACUCACCUCCCCUGACUUUUCUCUUCUUCACGCCCAGCCGCCGGCACCGCAGUUAGGCCGCGCACCACCCUCCAUCUCCUCUGUGUGCAGGCCACCACCACCGCACUCACCCCACCGUCCCCUGUUUCCCCUCUCUCGCAACUCCCCUGCCUCUCCCUCUUUUCUCUUCGCUGUACCACACCCGCAACCACCAGCGUCGCACCACCACUCCCAGCCAUCCUCUCCACUAUGUGAACCCACCUCCGUCCCCAAUAACCGUCGCGCCGCCGCCCAGAACCAAAAAUAAAUACUCCCCUGUAAUUCCCGUGUUUUGCGCAAACUCACCCCUUCCUCGUUGCUUCUCCCCCGUGAACCACCCACCCCCACCGCCGCCUCACCGGCGCGGUUCCGCGCUGAUGCGCCGCCCAUAAAUCCGGCCGCCACCCAACCUCCUUCUUCCUUCCCCUCUCCUCCCUCGUGCCCUGCCCUCCUCUGUUCUUGCUCGAAGUUCCCGAGAAACAAGUUCCAGUAUUGGAACUUUGUUCCUUUUUGUUGCUCAAGCUAAGCCCAAAAUCUUUAGGCCCAAACACCUCUAAAAUUCGGACUCGGAGCUCAGGACGAACGAACCAAGGAAAAAGGCUUAGCAAAUCGUGGAAUUGAGGUACUGCUGGGGACCACGGAAACGAGUAGUGGCGAGGAUUUCACUAUGUUCACCUAAGUUACUGUUAAGUUGUAACAAGUUUAAGUGAAGAUUCUUGAUUAAGUUACGUACUUUGAUUAAGGAAUUAAAAAGGAUUAUUAUGUUAAUUUUGGAAUUUAAUAGCUUAUUAUGAUGGUUGCCUUGUGAUUCCCAAAAGGGAGUUACGGCGAGUAAUGUCCCGACCGAAUUAGGUUAAUUCCGCUGCUAAUAAUGAUUAAAUAAUUGAAUUAGAGGU